rnacentral:siRNA from 1 species
GUAGCUUGUGCCAUAGCCAUGUAC